rnacentral:rRNA from 1 species
AUAACUCCGGGAAACCGGGGCUAAUACCGGAUGCUUGAUUGAACCGCAUGGUUCAAUCAUAAAAGGUGGCUUUUAGCUACCACUUACAGAUGGACCCGCGGCGCAUUAGCUAGUUGGUGAGGUAACGGCUCACCAAGGCGACGAUGCGUAGCCGACCUGAGAGGGUGAUCGGCCACACUGGGACUGAGACACGGCCCAGACUCCUACGGGAGGCAGCAGUAGGGAAUCUUCCGCAAUGGACGAAAGUCUGACGGAGCAACGCCGCGUGAGUGAUGAAGGUUUUCGGAUCGUAAAACUCUGUUGUUAGGGAAGAACAAGUACCGUUCGAAUAGGGCGGUACCUUGACGGUACCUAACCAGAAAGCCACGGCUAACUACGUGCCAGCAGCCGCGGUAAUACGUAGGUGGCAAGCGUUGUCCGGAAUUAUUGGGCGUAAAGCGCGCGCAGGCGGUUUCUUAAGUCUGAUGUGAAAGCCCCCGGCUCAACCGGGGAGGGUCAUUGGAAACUGGGGAACUUGAGUGCAGAAGAGGAGAGUGGAAUUCCACGUGUAGCGGUGAAAUGCGUAGAGAUGUGGAGGAACACCAGUGGC